rnacentral:rRNA from 1 species
CCCUUAGAUGUUCUGGGCCGCACACGCGCUACACUGAAGGAGGCAGCGUGUACUCCUGGAUCGAAAGAUUUGGGUAACCCGCGAAUCUCCUUCGUGCUAGGGAUUGAGGUUUGCAAUUAUCCUUCAUGAACGAGGAAUUCCCAGUAAGUGCAAGUCAUAAGCUUGCGCUGACUACGUCCCUGCCCUUUGUACACACCGCCCGUCGCUACUACCGAUUGAAUGAUUUAGUGAGGACUUCGGACUGGGACCGAUGCGGCUUUCGGGCUGCGCCGGUAUUCUGGAAAGAUGUCCAAACUGUAUCAUUUAGAGGAAGUAAAAGUCGUANCA